AGUUCUCCCUUCUUUUGACUAUAAUACUUGCCGACCUAACCCUAAAACCCAAAAUAAAAAGUAAGCAAAUAAAUAAGCCAACCUUGCUCCAAAUUUACCGUCGGCUUCAAGUUUCCCGGCAACAAAUCUUAAAAGCAAGUUAAAAAUUCAUAUUUUUUUCAGUUCAAAUCUCAUGUUCUUUUCCUCCUCUUCAAAACCCAUGACCUUUUCGGUGCUCUGCUGGGUGCUUCAUCAUUAACCAUCAUCCAUUACCACUUUGUUUUUCUAGGAAAAUGAUCAACAAAGCGUGAACAUUAAAAGGUGUAAGAUUUUCUUUGAGGGGUUCUUCCGCGAUUUCGAACACCUUGGGAAGUGCUGCUACCGAUAGUAAAAGUAUGAGAGAAGAAGCUCCAAGUCAAACAGCGGAAGAAGUACCUGCAACUUUGGCUGGUACUGCCAUUACCUUCUCAUUUAUUCUUUCUUUGGUUUUAGGCUCAUUUAUUACAUUUUGCAAAUGCCCCUUCUCACUUUUCCAAUUAAGUUUCUUGAUAGAUUCUUGUUAGCAUAUAAGCGUUUAUAACAAUUCGUGCUUGAAUGGGAGAUAGAUUUUGGUUUAUGCUAUAAGGUUAGGCCUUCAACUAGUUGUCAUUUAGGUUUGACUUUCUUUUGUCUAAUUUGAUUCUUACAUUGAAAUUUUAUAUAAAUUACCACUUUACUUUGUAAACAUAACUGUUUUCAACUUUUAUGCAACAUAUGUUCAAGCUUAUUCUUGAUGUAUAUAGAUUUUUGCAUUUGCUUUCUUUACUUAUUGUUGUGAUAUGAUAGGUUUUAGUUUCACCUAAAAAUUAGAAAACAACUAUUUGGUUUUUAAAUAGGGACUCUUAGGAAUUUUUACUAUUUGACUUAUAAUUGAUCCAUGUCAUUAUUUGCAAAAUAAUCAACAUCCUUUUUCCCAAAAAUAGCUAAUAUUUAGUAGGAUUUGACUUGCUAUAUUUCCUAACAACUUUCAAAAUCUUCUCACCUCAUCAUACACUAUAAUUUUCUUCACACUAGUAAUGGCCAAAAUUCACCAAGAAUAUAAAUAAUGAAUAACAUUUUCGUAGAAAAACCACCAAGAAUAUGAAUAUUAAAAUGAAAUGAAUAUCAUUAACGUUCAAGAUAGAAUUGCAUGUCUUAAAGUUACUUACCAGAAAAAAAAAACUAGCAUUUAUAAUUUUGAAAACUGUUGGUAUAAUUAACGCCAAGUGAGGGAUAGACACAUAAAGAGUUUAUAAUAUAUAUAUAGUGAUGGGAUAGGAAUAUCAUAGGCAAGGGGUUAGUUUGGUUUUCUCGGUGGUAAAAUUCAAUCCAUGCGAACAUAAAUCUACGUUUUUCCUUCUUUCUUUUCCUUAAAAGAUAUUAGACUCUCUAAAUUUGUAAGUUCACAAUUAUGUUUUAUGACUAUAUAUCAAAGUCUUGAUAGACUCUCAUGUUGAUUUAUUGUUUACGUCUUAUAAGUUAUGAAGUAGCGAAACAUUCUCAAUCAUACACAUGUAUUAAUUAUUUGAAGUAGUUGAUAAUUAAUACUUAGCCCUUCAACAUUAUAAAAAAUUCAAUUUAGUCAUCUUUUAAUUUUUCGUCUUUUUAACUAUUAAAUUUGUGUUUUUUUUCAAAUCAUACCAACAAAGAUGAAAAUUUUAAUGUUUAAAUUGACACAUGAUAUGUCAACAUUUAAAUAAUUAACAUCCUUUUUCCCUCUUAGGAUUAGUUUACUAUACAAAGACCGUUUUUCGCAUUACUAGGAGGUCGAUUUCCUGUGCUAGUAGACAUAGCUAUUUAACAAUCGAUAUAUAUACAAUUAAGAAUGGUUGAACACAUCCAUCAUCUCUAACAAUAAUUUACCUUCCAUCACCAUGCAAUAAUAACAAUAGACUUGAAGUUCUUUCUUUUGGAAAGGUUAGAUGUUGCACCAAGUUGAAAUUUUAUAAGGUUAUCCUGUUUCAUUUUUAUAAUAAAUAAGAUGCUUAUCCAAAAGAAAGAAUGAAUGAAUUAAAAAAUCGAAAAAACCUUUAAAGGAUUUAAAACUUACCUUAUUUUUUACAUGUUUUAUUUCUUUUUAUUUCAGUAUUUACCAUUUAAAUAUUAUUAUAUUUAUUGAUGGUUGUGGAAGUCUCCUAAUGCAUCUAAAAAACCUUUAAAGGAUCAUCUUGAAAAGAGUUAUAUUUCAGGCCUCUAAACUGAAGUAUUUGCUUGUAAUUAAGAAAAUAUGUUUGCAUUUUAGACUUAUUAUUAGAGCAUUACAUACUAAAGCUUGAAUUGUGUUUCAACUGUGAAUUUAUGUUACUUUUAAUUACUGGAAAGACGUUUGGUAGUCUUUGGUAGUAGUUGCAGGUAGGAUGAAAGAAGCAAGAAGGAAAAGAGAAUUGUGAAGAGAGAAAAUAGAAGAAAAAGGACGGAUUGUGAGGAGAAAAGAAAAUAAAGAUAACAGUUAUUCUUUGUGCAACAAAAUUCAAUGGAGCAAUUUAGAAGAGAAGAAGUAGGGAGCAACUAAAAAAGGGAGAUCAGAGAUGUGAAGAAGGGGAAGAGAAAUCUACCUUGGGUUUUGCAUAGAAUCUUGAUAAGAAGUUAGAGUGCAGCGAGAACUUCCUGCAGUCCUGCCUUUGUUCUGUUUUCUUGGUUUUGAAUUCUAUGAUUCAUAAAACUUAAAGAAUGUUGAUGAAUGAUUCAACUUUGGAUUUCAUUGCCCAAACCAUGAGCUAAUUAUCUUUGGGUUUGAAUUAUUGGGGUGAAUAUUGAAUUAUUUGUAAUGCUCAUAAUAUGCUUUUGAUUAAAAUUAUUGUUUCAUUCUAUUGUUGUUUAAUUGGAAUGCAUUCAUGCAAGCUCUAGACAUAAUUGAUUGCAUGUUAUAAUCUUAGAUGGCUUUGAAUUUGAAAGGAUUAAAUACAUCAUAUUAUUAAUCGAUUAAUACAGGCAAGUUCUCGAAAGAAUAUUUGCAACACUCUAGACAUAGAAGAUGUGAUCUGUACAGGUGUAGAGCGUUAGUUAGGUUAUCAUUCGUGAGUCUUGUAAACAUACAUAGACUCUGAAUAAUAAUUAAAGUUUAACUCUCGAAAGAAGUAGACUGCAGUGGUAAAUCUUUGGGCAAUAGUUUAGUCAUAACUUUGCCAUGGCAUUAUUAUGUUAUGAAAAUAUUUCCUGAGUAAUUCCAACCUUUAUCAUUCAACAGCAGAAAUACUCUCUACUUGUUCCUUGUGAAUUGCCACGACAUUUAGAUUGUUUGGUCGUUUUUCAGUUAUAAAUUGAUAUUAUUAGUUCAUUCAUUAAUUCCCUUCAAUAAUUUAUACUUUGUUUCUUUUGCACAGUCUCAUUCGUUAAAUCUUCAGUAAUACUAACUAAUUCAAAUAAACUUUCGAUCUCUGUUGAAACCAUACUCAUUCAUCAUUAUAUUACUUGAAUCGAUGUGUACACUUUCACAUUUUGAUUAUUUACACACAAUAGAAAUAUAUGAAAACAAUCCUCCUAAUGUGCAUAAUGAUCAAUGGAAGUGGCUGGUGGAGUGAUGGAGACACACCACAAGCUGCGGCACAAUCAGAAAAGAUGAAAGAAUCCCGAACAAAGGUGCGUUAUGCACGCAUCGCUGGUAACAUAGGAUAUGUGACCCUCAAUACACAAUUUGCUACGAAGGAAGGCCAUGAGCCCUCGUGUUUGGAGAAGUUUAGAUUUCAACAUUUGUGGAAAGAUGUGAGUGACAAAUUGAGCAGUGAGGUAGCAGAACAAGUUUAUGAUGAAGCAUGCAAAAGGGUUAAAGACUCUAUGCCAACACCUAAGAGUUCUUUCGCGCCUUAAGACAACAUUGCAUUAGAAAACGAGGUGUAUACACAAGUAUUCGACCCUGGCAAGGAUGGAAAAACGUUGGGAUAUGGACGUGGGAUGACCAAAUCCAGGUUGUUUGGCUAUGGUUCAGUCACCUGAGGAAGCCAAUCUACAUCGACCAUUAGUACAUUGAUUGAAGAGAUGAGCGCUAAACAUGUCGAGCAAAUACAAACAAUUCAAGCCGAACAAGCAGUUCAAGAGAAGACUCUAAUCGAGGAAGUAGAAUCUCAAUUUUGUACGAAAGCCGCAGAGCGAGAAGCUUGUUUGAUAGCUGAGGCAGAAGAAAGAUUUAUGAAAUUAACUGAAAAUGAAUAGGCAAAGUUCAGGGAUAUGAUGGAUGCUUGUGAGAAGAAGUACAGGGCUCUCCUCAACGAGUGUAUGGCAAACGGAAUGUCAAGAGAGCACUUGGCAGCAAAAAUAGCGAAAAACGAGCCAAAAUCAAACAAAUAGAGCUGUUUUCAGGAGCCACAUGGCUUGGGCAUUUCCACACGGGAUGGCCAUACGCCCGUGUGAGCCAUACGGGCUGGACACAUGCCCGUUUCAGCCACACGGGCUAGACACAAGCCCAUGUCAACCACACAGGCUGGACACACUCCCACGUGCCAGCCCGUGUCGAUUUCGCAUCCUACUUCCCAAAUACGCGAAAAACCCUAAUUUUUUGGCUUUUUGAGCAUUCUAAAGUCUAUAAAUACCCAUUAGAAGAAGACAUAAGGGAGUAAUUAGGGAAGAUCAAAGAAAACACUCGAAGUACACCGUCGAAAUCAACUCGAAAGUGAAUCUCCAUCAAGAUCGAAGAUCUCCUUUUAAUUUCUUUCAAAGUUCUAUUGAAUUUCUUUAUAUCUUGUGGUUUUUCUAACUUUGAGAUGUUUUCAUUUAGGAUUAUGAACUAAAUCCCUAGAUACCUAGGGAGGAUGAAAUCUUUGAUGAAUCCUUUUAUUUAAUUUCUGUUUUACGCGAUAAAUAAUUGAUUCUUAUUCUCAAUUAUGUAUGCUUACUUCUUGUUUUAAUAUUUCUGGGAUAUUAAUUCAUGUUUAAUGUGCUUAAUUCAAUGGAACAAAAGUCCUUUUUUAAGAGUAGAUCUAGCAUAAUUGAGUGGAGUUGCAUACAAUCCUUGAAAUAAGAUGACAUAAAUCUACCGGGUUAGAGUCAAAUCUAAUAGACGAAUCCAUAGAUCAAGUUAAUGCAACGAUAGGGGUUUUAAUUAGAAAGAGAUUUCAAUUAAUCAACCUAGAUUUAGUUGUUCUUACUCUCGAAAGAGAUAUUAACAUAAUUUAGAGAUUUCUACAGAUCAAGACAUAAGUGAAUAAAUCGUUUAAUUCAGAUUCAUAGUAAGAGGUGAAGUCUAGGUGAAUUCUUUCCUGGGUAUUGUCUAUCUCAUUGGUUAAUAUUCAAUUAUUUCCUUGAUUCAUUGUCUGUUGUGUUCUUAGUUAAAUUAGUUUCGUAAAUAUAGAUUAAAACACAUAACCCCAAAUUGUCGGCUAAAUAAUAGAAAAACAGUAAUUUCUAAUACUUUUAGUUCUCAUGGAUACUACGAUAUUCUCUACUCACCAUAGCUAUACUAUUGUUUGAUAGGUGCGCUUACCUUUGUCAUAUUUAUAGUUAGUUUAUUGACCAUCAUGGAUGUACUGAUGAAAAUUCUUUAUUUAGCUUGAAUUUAUGGUUCUUUGGUAAAUACUAAAAUAUUCUUCCCACGUGUUCAUGUUAUUUCUCAUCUAACUCGUAUAAAUAGAAAAUGUACAUUACUAUUUUUCAGUUGAAUUUCAGAGUAGCGGACUUGAUGAUAAAGCCUUCAGUUCGGAUGAUGAUGAAUGAGGCUUGCUGCAUAUUAUGUAUUAUAUAUAUAUGUUAUAGUGCUUGAUGAAUGCAGUUGUCCCAUAAC